rnacentral:rRNA from 1 species
GCGUGUUCGGCGCGGCCCUGUGUUGCGGUGUUGGUGGGGGGUGUGUGCUGCGCCCGCGGGGGGUGGUGGGUUGGGGGGCGGGGGUGGGUUGGCCGCGGGUUGGGCGGGUGGGGUGGGCGUGGGCUCCGUUGUCCGCUUCCCUGCUCUUUGGGGUCCUCCUGGGCUUUUCUCGUGAGGGUCAAAAACCCGCCCGGUUCGGUUUGGUGUCUGCGAGUCGAUUCCAUGUCGCCGGAAUCGCUAGUAAUGGCGCAUCAGNUNCGGCGCCGUGNAUACGUUCCCGCCCCUUUACACACCGCCCGUCACAUCAUGGGAGUCGCUUGUAGCCGAAGUCGGCGCGCUAACCGCAAGGAGGCAGCCGCCUACGCUAUGAGCGCUGACAGGGCAGUGUCGUAACAGGUAA